UAUUUAUCUCCACUGGGCAUUACUGUUAGGAAUAGAGAAAAGCCAAGGAGAUGUUUUGUCUCGUGGCUGGGGAUGGCUGGUGUUGUUCAGUAGGUAAGGAUGCUCCCUAACCUUCCUUGCUUGUAUGAGUGCUUGCAUGCGUUAGCUUGUACAUCUCGAGCUAACUUUUUGUCUAGGCUGGUAGCGUUUGCAAAAAAAUAAAUAAAUGUGUCUGUUUGGUUAACACUGAUCUCCGCGUUGGGACUUUGCCCGGAGUUGUCCUAACGCUUGAUCUUCGCCCACCCUUUCCCCCCUUAAGUAUCCCUCCCGCCCGCGUGGAGCAGACACGCGCUCACAGAUUCCAAAUUUCAAAAAUUGCGAGGAGUGAUCUAGCGAGGACACGUGCUAAAGAGAGCGAGGAGGCUGGGGUUCCACGGACUUCCGGGGGUGGUGGAAGAAGAUUAUACACCACACCAGCUCAAUCUUUUCUUCCUUUCCGCGGGGAGAAGGAUGGGUCAGUGAUGGGGAUGAACGGUGCUGUUGGAUAGCCCUCGUGGCUCCAACUCGCAUCAGCAUCUUUGGAGGACUUAUGGGUUUGGGAAGAGUUAAUCCGGAGAGCAUUUCUCUCCAACCGCCCCCCCCCCCCCGCAUCCCCAAGCAGGAGCAAAUCCAAGACUUUCCUCUUUGCAAAUUUCAGACUUUGGCCUUUGCUCCGGUGUCAUGGAACCAUCUGAUUUCGCAAGCCGCGCCUCUGCUUCAUUCCCCCCCCCCUUCAUUUUUCUUCUUCCGAUACCCGAUUUCCCCACCCACCUCCCAUCGAUGGAUAUGCGAGAGGGUCAAAAUGUUAAGAAAAGUUGCCAAUUGCCAGCCACUGGCAGCCCGCUUCCCGCGUCUCCCCUCCCCUGCCGUCAAUGGCUUUGCAUAGUAACAAAUAAAGUUUUGCCUUAAAAGAUGUCCCAAGUUUUAAAUGAACUGCUUUUGAAGAAAUAGCGACAGAGUCCCUUAAUAUUAUUUAUCCAGAUCCUCUUUGGAAAUGGGUGGCGAUCUAUUCAUUUAAUACGCAAAAUAAUAAUAACAGUAUUAAUAAUAAUCGCGUGUCGUUUCUCUCUUUUGGAGGGGAGACGGGGGCGGGGGAAGGAAUGUCGCCAAAAACAAACACAACGCCGAAAAGCUGCGCGAAGUGAAAAAAUCCUGCUUGAAUGGGUUCCGUUUAAACCUCGACAGCGCCACCUUUCGGCACAGAUCGGUUUCGAGUUGAACCGCUUCCAAUUUUUUAGAUGAAGGGGGGGAAAUCCAUAAAAUAAAAGCCCUUUUUAAAAAAGAGAGAGAAAAAGGAAAGUUUAGAGCUGGCAGCGCUUGCACGACAGCCUGACAUUAACCCCUCGAAGUCAAUGGAUUCUCGAAGCUAUAAACCUCUAUAAUUUCUCUAUUUAGGAUGCAGCCUGCAGUAUUUUUCUAGGAAGUGAGAAGGAAAGGGGAUUGUUCCUGGUAGCGGUGUCUGUUCCAGGGAUGUGUGUGUGAGAGAGGGAGAGAGAUAAGACAAAAAUCUUUAAAACUGCCAGCCUUGAUUUUCAACUGACUUUAUGGCAACAUCAAUAGAAUUAAAGUUACUUGUAAUUCAGUGAUAAAUGAGAUGUCUCUAGUAAGUAAGAUUAAGUGCAGUGCUAUAAAGUUGUUUAUCUGAAAAGUAAUUCUCAGAAACCCGACUCCUGACACUUAGUCAUAUAUUAAACCAGCCUUUUGAACAUUGUACUUCAGUGCAAUGGCUUCUGCAUGUUUUCAGAAUUUCCUGUUUAAAAUUUUAUACUAAGUAGCUGUUUGUAGAGGCUUCUCAUCUGACUUCGAAGUCCUCAUUCCCAGUAGUAACAAAAUCCCAGGUUGGUAAAGAAAGUAUGUGGUUUGCGUAUUCUGACAUAUCUCAGCCUUUGCAGUCAGGAUUUUUAAUAUCAAGGUAUGCCACAUAUGUCAUCCACAGACUUUUACACAAGACUUUUGAGUGUGUCACAAGUUGAUAACAAAGCUAAUGCUAAUUAUUGGGGGUCACUAUAAGGGAAUAAUGUAAAAGCUGAGGUCUCAGGUGAAACUUGAGAAAACAGUAUUUAUGAGAAAGUUAAUAGGAUGUGUCCAGUUUGAUUUCCCAUUUUGGAGGACUUGGUAGGAAUUGUCAACAAAAACUACUCACUCAUCCCCAUAAAUCUCAACCACGACAGUCUAAUUCCUUCUAUUUGGUUUUUCCCGGAGCAAGAUGAAUGUUGCACGAUAGAUCACUUAGCUCCUUCCCUCCCAUGAAUCACAGCCAUGUGUGAAUACUUUUAAAUGAAAACUUAUUGCUCUUUGGCAAUUCACACUUGCAGCAAUUGCAUGGAAUUAGAAACAUCUCCUCAGUGGGAGGGGCACAAAAACAAAACCAGUCUCUUUGGGACAGAGGCAUUUUAACAUGCUAUAUCUCCAGAAUUAGUGUGUCCCCCCCCCCACAAACCUGAGUAAGCUUUGAAAGCUAAAACAGGGAAUUCAAAGUACUGUGUUGUGUGGCUAACAGAAUCUGAGCUGAUAUUUAGCAAUGCAAAUAAGUGCUGUAAACUCAACUGGGCUCUGGCCCCCAAAAUAUCAAAUCAAAUUACUGGUUAUGCCAGAUUAUCCUUAUUUGACUCUUAGAGGUGACGGGACUGUCAAAUGUUGUCUAUUAUGUAGCACACCAUGGGGACUGUGACCAGUUUUAAAGAAAACCUUUGGAAGGAAGACCACGACUGUCCUCUUUCCUGCAACAUAUAAUUCUCAUUUUGGCAGCAUUUUCCUGUAUUAUUUAGCUUCUCACAAUGGAUGUCUAAACAUUUACAGUUCUCUAUUAGGAGUGUUUCUUCUCUAACAAUUGCACACUUUCAUUUCAAUUAGAGGCAUUCAACCCUCUGUCUUUCUGCAGCAAUGACAGGCCAAAUCCCCUCAGUCUGCCCCCCCUUGCUAUUUUUUGUUUGCUUGAAGUCUUUCUAUCAAUCUACAAUCACUAACGCCCUGCUUUAAUAUUCUCCUUUUCAAGAAUUGCCCUCUUGAAGAAAGCACAGUUUAAAAUUGGGGUUCCACAUGCUAACUUCAGUUACUUAAAAACCUCCUGAAUUGGAGUAGAUGCAUGCAUGUAUGUCCGUGUUUGUAUAUAUCUGUUUAUCUCUACUUAUAUUUAUUUUCUGCAGAAAAGUACAAACGAUUCAAUGCACUAUGUAACACUGUCAGUGUACCAUCCCUGCCUCAGUGAGGGGGGCAGGGGAAGCCUCAAGUGCAUAUGAAAGACUUCCUUAGCUGAGUAAACAAGCAGAGGAGGGUUUAGAAAGUAGGCAAUACACCUCUUGUGAGUUAUAUUGACUUUGAGUGUCAUUUGUUAUGACUUAAACAAACUCAUCUAUCAAGGCCAGCACAUUAAGUACAGUUACUGCACCUUUUGUUUAUCCAGUGUCUUAUUUUAUGGCGCAGAACUGAAUGGUGUCCGCUGAAUUUAAGUAUGAAAAGCAACCAAAUUGAUUUCCCAAAGACUUCCACGGGGUAACAAAAGGCGAAGGCAUCAACAGCUCUUAGGCACAGAGCUAGAUAAAUCCUUUUAACAGUGCUUCGGAUCCGUUAAAGGGGCAAGCAAAUAACAAAUCACUGUUAGCAGAUUUAUGAGAAAGAAAUAAUAGAAUCAGACGAGAUAAUCUGAUAGGGGUAAAAUUGCUGAGGAAACAAGUCUUACUUCACAUACAUAGCGAUGAAACAGCAGCCUGAUAACUAGAAGCCAUCACAAAUAGGUGAAUUAUGAUGGAAAUAAUCAUCCCUGUAAUUCAGUAUUUAUUAAUCCUUUUCUUUUUAAACAACUCACAGAUGUCCAAGCAAUGCGUCUCUCUCUUUGAAGAUCCAUUAAUCACACACACAUAUUUAUUGGGUGUAAUUUACUAUUUGUAUCACCUGUUUUUUCCCCCAUAAUUGAACAUUCUGCAUUCAAAUUUAUGUAAUGCAUUAGGCCUGCAAACAUAUUUCUGCCUGAUUAGCAUAAAUAGUCACUUCAUGAAUUACUAACAAAGUUGAUCUGGAAAAUAUUGGCGUAUUAUUUUAUUAAGUGGAACACAAACAUAUGUCCAAUAAAUUCUUGUUUUCUGGUGGCAGGAAGGAAUACAGAAUGAUCCAGGCGGUGGUGUCUCAGUGUGGGGAAGAGGAAAGACUAAGCUGAGUUAAUUUGUAUGUAUGAAAUUAAUUUGCCCUGUCAACCCUUCUGUUUAUCUUUAAUAAAGAGGAAUGCCCAUGUCUGUUUCAGAGGCAUGAAUCAUGAGACAACAAAAGGCAGCAGUUAUAUACACACAUAUAUUUGUGAUUUCCC